rnacentral:rRNA from 1 species
AUUGAACGCUGGCGGUAGGCUUAACACAUGCAAGUCGUGCGAGAAAGUAUCUUCGGAUAUGAGUAGAGCGGCGGACGGGUGAGUAACGCGUGAGAAUCUGCCCUCAGGAGGGGGACAACGGUUGGAAACGACCGCUAAUACCCCAUAUGCCGCGAGGUGAAAUGAAUUUCGCCUGAGGAUGAGCUCGCGUCUGAUUAGCUAGUUGGUGUAGGUAAUGGCUCACCAAGGCAUCGAUCAGUAGCUGGUCUGAGAGGAUGAUCAGCCACACUGGGACUGAGACACGGCCCAGACUCCUACGGGAGGCAGCAGUGGGGAAUUUUCCGCAAUGGGCGAAAGCCUGACGGAGCAACGCCGCGUGAGGGAUGAAGGCCUCUGGGCUGUAAACCUCUUUUAUCAAGGAAGAAGAUCUGACGGUACUUGAUAAGUAAGCCACGGCUAAUUCCGUGAA